GGUCCCUGUAGGAGUAGUGGUUAGGCCACGGCGUUCUCAGCACCGAGGCCCGGGUUCGAUUCCCGGCCACGGGACCA